rnacentral:rRNA from 1 species
AAUUGGAGGGCAAGUCUGGUGCCAGCAGCCGCGGUAAUUCCAGCUCCAAUAGCGUAUAUUAAAGUUGUUGCAGUUAAAGAGCUCGUAGUUGAAUUUCGGAAUCUGUCCUUUGGUCGGGCUUCACUGUCCGUACUGGUGUGAUGGGUUUCUACCUUCUGAAUAACCGGCAUGUCAUUAAUUUGGUGCGCCGGGGAAGCAGAACUAUUACCUUGAAAAAAUUAGAGUGCUUAAAGCAGGCUAUCGCCUGAAUAGAUUAGCAUGGAAUAAUGAAAUAGGACGUUCGAUCUUAUUUUGUUGGUUUCUAAGAUUGACGUAAUGAUUAAUAGGGAUAGUUGGGGGCAUUAGUAUUCAAUUGUCAGAGGUGAAAUUCUUGGAUUUAUUGAAGACUAACUACUGCGAAAGCAUUUGCCAAGGAUGUUUUCAUUAAUCAAGAACGAAAGUUAGGGGAUCGAAGACGAUCAGAUACCGUCGUAGCCUUAACCAUAAACUAUGCCGACUAGGGAUCGGACGAUGUUAAUCUUUUAAUGACUCGUUCGGCGCCUUACGGGAAACCCAAGUGU